GUGCAGCAGUCGCGAAACUUUACAAUGUGCGAAAGCACGAUAAGGGAACUCUGAGUGCCUCCUAAGGAGGCUGUUCAGGUGUCUAAAAGCACCUGAAGGAAGGGCUGGGUAAGACCGGUGCCAGCCGCCGCGGUAACACCGGCAGCCCAAGUGGUAGCCACGUUUAUUGGGUCUAAAGCGUCCGUAGCCGGCUGGGUAAGUUCCUUGGGAAAUUUGGCUGCUUAACAGUCAAGCUUUCAGGGAAUACUGCCCGGCUUGGGACCGGGAGAGGUCAGAGGUACUCCAGGGGUAGGGGUGAAAUCCAUUAAUCCUUGGGGGACCACCGGUAGCGAAGGCGUCUGACCAGACCGGGUCCGACGGUGAGGGACGAAGGCUAGGGGCGCGAACCGGAUUAGAUACCCGGGUAGU
rnacentral:rRNA from 1 species